rnacentral:rRNA from 1 species
UACGUAGGACGCAAGCGUUAUCCGGAGUUACUGGGCGUAAAGCGCGGGCAGGCGGUCUUGCCAGUCUGAUGUGAAAUCUCCUCGCUCAACGGGGAGCAGCCAUUGGAAACUACAAGACUGGAGUCUGACAGAGGUAGGCGGAAUUCCGGGUGGAGUGGUGAAAUGCGUAGAGAUCCGGAGGAACACCAGAGGCGAAGGCGGCCUACUGGGUCAGUACUGACGCUGAGCCGCGAAAGCCAGGGGAGCGAACGGG